CUGGUCGGCGACGAAGUACGCUAUUAUUCAUCGAUACGAAGGUCAGGCUAGUGGCAUCUCCGAUCUAGCUUGUUCUUCGAAUUCGCACUACACUUGCUUCGCUUCCAAUGAUCGCACGCUUCAAAUCUGGGACGCUCGAGCUCUGUACGAUUGCCUCAAUGUGCUUAGAGGCCACACCAAUUUUGUCUUGUACAUCAAUUUCAAUCCUCCGUCGAAUCUGAUUGUGUCCGGUUCGGUCGGCUAGACAAUUCGGAUCUGGAAGGUAAAAACAGACAAGCGCGUCCGCAUGAUUAAGCUCACCCUCAAUCGGGAUGGUUCGUUGAUAGUUUUGGGAAGCAAUGAUGGUUCUUUCAAAAUCUGGGAUGCGAAAGACAGAACUUGCUUCAAGACUCCGAUUGAUGAUAAAUCUCAUGAUGUUUCCUUCACCAAAUUCUCUCCGAAUGAGAAAUUCAUCCUUGUUGCCACUCUUGAUAGUACUCUCGUUUUAUAGCUGAGAGCCUCUCGGAAGAAGAGAUUGCUGGUUUAAGAGAAAUGUUUCAGGCAAUGUAUAUUGAUAACAGCGGUGCUAUUAAGUUUGUUGAACUCAAAACUAGGCUGAGGAAAUAUGGAUCAACCUUGAAAGAUACAGAGAUCCAUGAUCUAAUGGAAGCUGCAAAAUCUAAUCUCAUUUGGCUACAAAACGAAAGUUAAUUAUUGUGUGUUUUCAGUGACGAGCUCUUGUAUUGGCAGGCUGAUGUGGGAAACAGUAGGACAAUUGAUUACAGUGAGUUCAUUGCAGCAACGAUCCAUCUAAACAAACUGGAGCGGGAAGAACAUCUUGUCGCUGCGUUUUAAUAUUUUGGCAGA